GGAAAGACAGAAAUGACCGUGAUGCAUGCCCCUCACUAUGAGGAAAAGAUUAGGAUGUGAAACUCUCAUCUUCUGUUCCUGUGUGCCUCUAUGCUCCCCACCACGAUAGUCAUAGACUAACUCUGAAAAGCUUUGAUUCCUCAUUGUCAC